rnacentral:pre_miRNA from 1 species
GACAUACUCCCUCCGUCCGAAAAUACUUGUCAUCAAAAUGAAUGAAAAGGGAUGUAUCUAGAACUAAAAUACGUCUAGAUACAUCUCCUUUUAUCCAUUUUGAUGACAAGUAUUUCCGGACGGAGGGAGUACCAC